rnacentral:snoRNA from 8 species
AUCCUCUGGUUCCUUUUCCCAUUGGAUCUGAAUGCUGGUCUUGGUGGUUGUAAAAGGAGGAAAAGUAACACUGAAGGUGGCUUCGCAGUCUUGUAGUCUGGCAUAUCGUUUCCACAAUGGUUUGAAAUAA